GACGAACGCUGGCGGCGUGCUUAACACAUGCAAGUCGAACGGAAAGGCCCUGCUUUUGUGGGGUGCUCGAGUGGCGAACGGGUGAGUAACACGUGAGUAACCUGCCCUUGACUUUGGGAUAACUUCAGGAAACUGGGGCUAAUACCGGAUAGGAGCUCCUGCUGCAUGGGGGGGGUUGGAAAGUUUCGGCGGUUGGGGAUGGACUCGCGGCUUAUCAGCUUGUUGGUGGGGUAGUGGCUUACCAAGGCUUUGACGGGUAGCCGGCCUGAGAGGGUGACCGGCCACAUUGGGACUGAGAUACGGACCAGACUCCUACGGGAGGCAGCAGUGGGGAAUAUUGCGCAAUGGGCGGAAGCCUGAUGCGGCAACGCCGCGUGCGGGAUGACGGCCUUCGGGUUGUAAACCGCUUUCGCCUGUGACGAAGCGUGAGUGACGGUAAUGGGUAAAGAAGCACCGGCUAACUACGUG
rnacentral:rRNA from 1 species